UUAAGAUUUUAAAGACUGAAGAAGAAAGAUCGGUAGCUGAGGAUGUUGAAAAUCGAUUCUCAAUUUUCAGACUACAGAAUCGAUCCCUGAAUUAUCACCAAAUUACGAUCUUACAAAUCGAUUUUCACUACGCCAUGCCGUUAGAAGUGAAACUACGUAUCGCCCUGAACGAGAACGCAAGGGGGGGGGGGGGAAAUAGAAUGCAUAAGAAUCCAUAAGAAAACCAAAAGAUGAAGUAUGUGAUGUCCUUCCUCCAGAAUAUCAAGCAAGAGAUCAUCAUCCGCGGUUAUUCAGUUUAUCGAUAGUGAAGAAAGCCGCAAACAACUUAACCAAGAAACAAAACAUGCAUGAGAGAGAAGGCACAGACUUUGUCAUAAAACAAUUUGAUGGAACGCAAAAAGCCACAGAUUGGAGUAUGAAAUAUUCAUAUUUCACAUAAGCAUCCCUUCCAUACUCUAAUAUGAGUAUGAAACCGAAUACGAAAAAUACAAAAUCCAAACUGACGAAAAAAGGAUCAAGAAUUUGAAGAAAUAUUUGGGAAAAAUAGCAUCAGAAUGGUACCAAGCAAAUCUGCUGAAGGAUGAAGAAUACAACUGGGAAAAUUGGAAGGUUCAUUCACUGAAUAUGCCAUAAAAAAGGAAUGAUUAAUAUUGGAAGUAAGGAGGAAGACUUCUGAAGAGACAGGGAUAAAUCUAAUUGUUAUUGGAUUACCCAUACACAUUCAAGAUAAAAUCGAUAAAGAAACAGUACAAUCAACAAAUGGCUUAAUCAGAUUCUUGGAGCAAUAUCAGACAAAGGGAAGAAAAACACAAGGGAGUAACACAAGAUUGGACAGAAAGCCAGAGCCACUGCCCAAGAAACAACCUUGUGUGAUUUAUGAAGCACUGAAUUUCCCAGGUCGAUUUCACCCAAUAACAACUCACCAAAGAAAUAUAUGCACAUACUCAUCGAUCAUUUUUCAAGGGCUGUUUUUAUGUCCACAUUGAAAACACA